GAGAGAGGCCCGCCGCAAUGAAGACUGCUAAUCUUCACUACUUUGGUUAAACCCCAGAGCUCCCUCG
rnacentral:tRNA from 1 species